AAUGUGACUCAGCUAUCUGAACAGUCACCCCAAUGUCAGACAGCUGAGUCACUCUGC
rnacentral:pre_miRNA from 1 species